UACGUAGGGGGCUAGCGUUGUCCGGAAUCAUUGGGCGUAAAGAGCGUGUAGGCGGCCCGGUAAGUCCGCUGUGAAAGCCUGGGGCUCAACUCCAGAAUUGCCUUUGAAACGGGGACGCUUGAGUCCGAGAGAGGGUGGCGGAAUUCCUAGUGUAGAGGUGAAAUUCGUAGAUAUUAGGAAGGACACCAGUGGCGAAGGCGGCCACCUGGCUCGGUACUGACGCUCAGGUUCGAAAGCGUGGGGAGCAAACAGG
rnacentral:rRNA from 1 species